CCUACGGGAGGCAGCAGUAGGGAAUAUUGCUCAAUGGGGGAAACCCUGAAGCAGCAACGCCGCGUGGAGGAUGAAGGUUUUCGGAUUGUUAACUCCUUUUUUUAGAGAAGUUAAUGGCGGUAUCUAACGAAUAAUCACUGUCUAACUCCGUGCCGGCAGCCGCGGUAAUACGGAGGGUGCAGGCGUUAUUCGGAAUCUCUGGGCGUAAAGAGCGCGUAGGCGGGAUAGCAAGUCAGAUGUGAAAUCCUAUGGCUUAACCAUAGAACUGCAUUUGAAACUGUUAUUCUAGAGUAUGGGAAGGGUAGGUGGAAUUCGUGGUGUAGGGGUAAAAUGCGUAGAGAUCAAGAGGAAUACUCAUUGCGAAGGCGACCUGCUAGAACAUAACUGACGCUGAUGCGCGAAAGCGUGGGGAGCAAACAGGAUUAGAUACCCUUGUAGUC
rnacentral:rRNA from 1 species